rnacentral:tRNA from 1 species
AGCGGGAUAGAGGAGAGGUACCUCGUGAGGCUCAUAACCUCAAGACCCUGGUUCGAUUCCAGGUCCCGCUACCA